rnacentral:rRNA from 1 species
CGGGUGAGUAAUGUAUGGGGAUCUGCCUGAUGGCGGGGGAUAACUACUGGAAACGGUAGCUAAUACCGCAUAAUGUCUGCGGACCAAAGCGGGGGACCUCCGGGCCUCGCGCCAUCAGAUGAACCCAUAUGGGAUUAGCUAGUAGGUGGGGUAACGGCUCACCUAGGCGACGAUCCCUAGCUGGUCUGAGAGGAUGACCAGCCACACUGGAACUGAGACACGGUCCAG